GCGAAGAAGGACGUGGCUACCGGCGAAACGUUUCGGGGAGUUGGAAGUAAGCUUUGAUCCGAAAGUAUCCGAAUGAGGAAACUCAAUAACUUCUUACUGAAUCUAUAAGUAAAGAAAGAGCAAACCUAGGGAACUGAAACAUCUUAGUACCUAGAGGAAAAGAAAGUAAAAACGAUUCCCUGAGUAGUGGCGAACGAAACGGGAAGAGCCUAAACUUUUUAAAAUUGUAUGAUUUUGAAAAGGGUUGUGGGAAGAAUAAGUUUUUCGUUCUUUAAAAAACGAAAACUAAAAAAGAAACUCAAGCAAAAGCUAAGUCUUUUUAAGAAAUUAGGUGAAAUAAUUGGAAAGUUAUACCAAAGAAAGUGAUAGUCUUGUAACCAAAAAUUUCUUUACUAUAAUUUAUUCCCGAGUAGCAUGGGGCACGUGGAAUCCCGUGUGAAUCUGCGAGGACCACCUCGUAAGGCUAAAUAUUCCUGAAUGUCCGAUAGCGUAUAGUACCGCGAGGGAAAGGUGAAAAGAACCCCGGGAGGGGAGUGAAAUAGAACGUGAAAUUGCAAGCCCACAAACAGAAAGAGAACGACUUAGCGUUUAAUUUCGUGCCUGUUGAAGAAUGUUCCGGCGACUUAUAGUUAGUGGCAGGUUAAGAGAGAGAUCUCGGAGCCAGAGUGAAAGCGAGCUUGAAUAGAGCGUUCGUCACUAAUUAUAGACCCGAACCCGGUUGAUCUAACCAUGGCCAGGAUGAAACUUAGGUAAUACUAAGUGGAGGUCCGAACCGACUGAUGUUGAAAAAUCAGCGGAUGAGUUGUGGUUAGGGGUGAAAUGCCAAUCGAAACCGGAGCUAGCUGGUUCUCCCCGAAAUGUAUUUAGGUGCAGCGGUUAAUAUUAUAGCGUAGGGGUAAAGCACUGUUUCGGUGCGGGCUGGUAAUUCGGUACCAAAUCGAGGCAAACUCUGAAUACUACGUGCACAGUUAACCAGUAAGACUAUGGGGGAUAAGCUUCAUAGUCAAGAGGGAAACAGCCCAGAUCACCAGCUAAGGCCCCUAAAUAAUGACUAAGUGAUAAAGGAAGUGGAAAGGCUUAGACAACCAGGAGGUUUGCUUAGAAGCAGCAAUCCUUUAAAAAGUGCGUAAUAGCUUACUGGUCUAGCAAUUCUGCGCCGAAAACUUAUGGGACUAAGUCAUUUGCCGAAGCUGUGAGAUAGAAAGAUAUCUUUCUAUCGGUAGGGGAGCGUUCUGUUGUAGAGUGAAGUAUUAGCGAAAGCGGGUAUGGACGAAACAGAAGUGAGAAUGUCGGAUUGAGUAGCGAAAACAUUGGUGAGAAUCCAAUGCUCCGAAAACCUAAGGUUUCCUCCGCAAGGCUCGUCCACGGAGGGUUAGUCAGGACCUAAGAUGAGGCUGAGAAGCGUAGUCGAUGGAGAAUUGGUCAAUAUUCCAAUACUCGGUUCUAGCAGGUAUCGAGGGACGAAGAAGGCUAAACUAGCCAGAUAUUGGUUACUGGUUUAAGUAGUUAAUUCGAAUGAAAGAGAAUCAGAUGAACUUCGUUCAAAAGAGAAAUUUUGAGUUGGGAUUAUUUAUGAGGUGUUGAGGAUUAGAGAAAAUAAUCUGAGCUGAAAUACGAAUACAAGAUUUUUAAAAUCAAAGUAGUUGAUGUCAUACUUCCAAGAAAAGCUCGCUAUGCCUUAUGCUAGAAUCACCUGUACCAGAAACCGACACAGGUAGGUAGGUAGAGAAUACCAAGGAGCGCGGGAGAACCCUCCUUAAGGAACUCGGCAAAAUAGCUCUGUAACUUCGGAAGAAAGAGUGCCUUUUAGGCUGCAAUAUCAAGUUCCAAGCAACUGUUUAGCAAAAACACAGGUCUCCGCAAAGUGGUAACACGACGUAUGGGGGCUGACGCCUGCCCAGUGCUGGAAGGUUAAAGAAGUCGGUUAGCGCAAGCAAAGCUGGUAACUGAAGCCCCAGUGAACGGCGGCCGUAACUAUAACGGUCCUAAGGUAGCGAAAUUCCUUGUCAGGUAAGUUCUGACCCGCACGAAUGGCGUAAUGAUUUGGAAGCUGUCUCGAGGAGGGACUCGGUGAAAUAGAACUAGCUGUGAAGAUGCGGCUUACCUGCGCCUGGACAGUAAGACCCUAUGAAGCUUUACUGUAUCCUGAAAUUGGAUUUCGAUUUUAUUUGCGCAGAAUAGGUGGGAGACGGUGAAAUCUUUCUUUUGGGAAGGAUGGAGUCAUUAGUGAGAUACCACUCUGAUAAAAUUAAAAUUCUAACUUCAUACCGUAAGCCGGUUGAAAGACAGUUUCAGGUGGGCAGUUUGACUGGGGCGGUCGCCUCCCAAAAGGUAACGGAGGCGUACAAAGGUUUCCUCAGAUCGGUCAGAAAUCGAUCUUUGAGUGCAAAGGCAAAAGGAAGCUUAACUGUGAGACAAACAAGUCGAGCAGAGACGAAAGUCGGUCUUAGUGAUCUGACGAUGCUGUGUGGAAAGGUCGUCACUCAACGGAUAAAAGUUACUCUAGGGAUAACAGGCUGAUCUCCCCCAAGAGUUCCUAUCGACGGGGAGGUUUGGCACCUCAAUUGGGGGCAUAUAUGUAGUAAUACGAUAUGACAAUUUGGCUGUAUGCUGGAAACUCCGUUCAUUAAAUUGAUGUAGUAUCCUAAAGUACUCUUGAAUUUUUCAAAGUAAAAAUCUUUAGGUGCGGACAAUCAGCAGGGAAGUUUAGAAAUAUAAUUAUAUUCUAUAACCCCUCAACGACUACACGCCGAACAACCAUUAUUGGUUGAUGAUAUAGUCUGAUCUUUUAGGCGACUAAAAGGAUUUCAAGAAGAGGGAUGAUAAGGUAAAACUUAAAAACUUUUUGAAGUCAUAAAUUCUUAUCUUCAUAUACUGUAAGGGAAUUAUGUUCUAAUAAAUAAAAAAAUAUAUGAUAUUUUUUCCCGAAUUCAAUCAACUACAGGUGGAUUUACUUAUUGGUACUUUAUUAGGGAGAUGGAAACCUUCAGAACGUUGGGCAGAAUGGAGAUACAGAGUAGUUCAAAAAACAGCACAUAUUGAUUUUGGUAAAUUUCAAAUAUGACAUUUUAAAAGACUGGGUAGUACUCCACCGAAAAUUCAACAAGUGAAAGCUAAAAAUGGAAAAGAAAUUUCUCGAUGUGUAUUUAAUACACUAUCAAGUCCAAAUUUCGAUCGUUUUGCAAAUCUUUUUUAUAAAAAAAAUACAGAGACAAAUUUAUGGACAAAAAAAGUUCCAGAAGAUAUUGCAAAGUAUUUAACCCCGAGGGCUAUUGCGUUUUGGUAUAUGGAUGAUGGGGCAUUAAAAUGGCAAGGGAAAUCGAAUGCGGUUAGAUUUUGUACAGAUUCUUUUUCACACGAUGAAGUAAUUUUACUCCAAAAUACGUUGGCUAAGUUUAAUAUUGAAACUACUUUACAAAAGCAACGUGAGACUGAACGUAUUUGUACAAAAGAGACUUCUUAUGAAGCUCUUGCAUCUGUCAUAACUCCUUAUUUAAUACCAUCAAUGUACUACAAAUUUCCUGAUGGAAACAAAGGAAUUUUUCAUGGUGAACAAAUUGGUAGGGAACUUUAUGAUUUUGGCGACCCGAUUUUUAAUACUGAAUCAAAUUCAGAUAUUCAAGAACCAGAUCUAAUGCCGAAUCUCUUAGAUUCAUUUUAUUAACAUUAUUGCGAUGUCGGCUCAUCGCAUCCUGGGGCGGAAGUACGUCCCAAGGGUUGGGCUGUUCGCCCAUUAAAGCGGUACGUGAGCUGGGUUCAGAACGUCGCGAGACAGUUCGGUCCAUAUCCGGCGUGGGCGUUAGAGUAUUGAGAGUGACCUUUCUCUAGUACGAGAGGACCGAGAAAGAUGUACCGCUGGUGUACCAGUUCUUGUGCCAACAGGAAAUGCUGGGUAGCUAAGUACAGUUAGGAUAACCGCUGAAAGCAUCU
rnacentral:rRNA from 1 species